AGCGAACGCUGGCGGCAGGCUUAACACAUGCAAGUCGAGCGGGCAUAGCAAUAUGUCAGCGGCAGACGGGUGAGUAACGCGGGGGAACGUACCUUUUGGUUCGGAACAACUGGGGGGAACUUCAGCUAAUACCGGAUAAGCCCUUACGGGGAAAGAUUUAUCGCCGAAAGAGCGGCCCGCGUCUGAUUAGCUAGUUGGUGAGGUAAUGGCUCACCAAGGCGACGAUCAGUAGCUGGUAUGAGAGGAUGAUCAGCCACAUUGGGAAUGAGACACGGCCCAAACUCCUACGGGAGGCAGCAGUGGGGAAUAUUGGACAAUGGGCGCAAGCCUGAUCCAGCCAUGCCGCGUGAGUGAUGAGGGCCCUAGGGUUGUAAAGCUCUUUUGUGCGGGAAGAUAAUGACGGUACCGCAAGAAUAAGCCCCGGCUAACUUCGUGCCAGCAGCCGCAGUAA
rnacentral:rRNA from 1 species